UUAAGCGACUAAGCGUACACGGUGGAUGCCCUGGCAGUCAGAGGCGAUGAAGGACGUGCUAAUCUGCGAAAAGCGCCGGCGAGGUGAUAUGAACCUUUGACCCGGCGAUGUCCGAAUGGGGAAACCCAGUGCAAUCCGUUGCACUAUCGUUAACUGAAUACAUAGGUUAACGAGGCGAACCGGGGGAACUGAAACAUCUAAGUACCCCGAGGAAAAGAAAUCAACCGAGAUUCCCCCAGUAGCGGCGAGCGAACGGGGAGCAGCCCGGAGUCUGAAUCAGCUUGUGUGUUAGUGGAACGGUCUGGAAAGUCCGACGGUACAGGGUGAUAGUCCCGUACACGAAAGCACACAUGCUGUGAACUCGAAGAGUAGGGCGGGACACGUGGUAUCCUGUCUGAAUAUGGGGGGACCAUCCUCCAAGGCUAAAUACUCCUGACUGACCGAUAGUGAACCAGUACCGUGAGGGAAAGGCGAAAAGAACCCCGGCGAGGGGAGUGAAAAAGAACCUGAAACCGUGUACGUACAAGCAGUGGGAGCCUCUUUAUGGGGUGACUGCGUACCUUUUGUAUAAUGGGUCAGCGACUUAUAUUCUGUAGCAAGGUUAACCGUAUAGGGGAGCCGAAGGGAAACCGAGUCUUAACUGGGCGUUAAGUUGCAGGGUAUAGACCCGAAACCCGGUGAUCUAGCCAUGGGCAGGUUGAAGGUUGGGUAACACUAACUGGAGGACCGAACCGACUAAUGUUGAAAAAUUAGCGGAUGACCUGUGGCUGGGGGUGAAAGGCCAAUCAAACCGGGAGAUAGCUGGUUCUCCCCGAAAGCUAUUUAGGUAGCGCCUCGUGAACUCAUCUUCGGGGGUAGAGCACUGUUUCGGCUAGGGGGCCAUCCCGGCUUACCAACCCGAUGCAAACUACGAAUACCGAAGAAUGUUAUCACGGGAGACACACGGCGGGUGCUAACGUCCGUCGUGAAGAGGGAAACAACCCAGACCGCCAGCUAAGGUCCCAAAGUCAUGGUUAAGUGGGAAACGAUGUGGGAAGGCACAGACAGCCAGGAUGUUGGCUUAGAAGCAGCCAUCAUUUAAAGAAAGCGUAAUAGCUCACUGGUCGAGUCGGCCUGCGCGGAAGAUGUAACGGGGCUAAACCAUGCACCGAAGCUGCGGCAGCGACACUAUGUGUUGUUGGGUAGGGGAGCGUUCUGUAAGCCGUUGAAGGUGUCCUGUGAGGGGUGCUGGAGGUAUCAGAAGUGCGAAUGCUGACAUAAGUAACGAUAAAGCGGGUGAAAAGCCCGCUCGCCGGAAGACCAAGGGUUCCUGUCCAACGUUAAUCGGGGCAGGGUGAGUCGACCCCUAAGGCGAGGCCGAAAGGCGUAGUCGAUGGGAAACAGGUUAAUAUUCCUGUACUUGGUGUUACUGCGAAGGGGGGACGGAGAAGGCUAUGUCAGCCGGGCGACGGUUGUCCCGGUUUAAGCAUGUAGGCGGAGGUUCCAGGUAAAUCCGGUACCUUAUUAACGCUGAGGUGUGAUGACGAGGCACUACGGUGCUGAAGUGAUAAAUGCCCUGCUUCCAGGAAAAGCCUCUAAGCAUCAGGUAACACGAAAUCGUACCCCAAACCGACACAGGUGGUCAGGUAGAGAAUACCAAGGCGCUUGAGAGAACUCGGGUGAAGGAACUAGGCAAAAUGGUGCCGUAACUUCGGGAGAAGGCACGCUGAUGUGUAGGUGAAGUCCCUGCGGACGGAGCUGAAAUCAGUCGAAGAUACCAGCUGGCUGCAACUGUUUAUUAAAAACACAGCACUGUGCAAACACGAAAGUGGACGUAUACGGUGUGACGCCUGCCCGGUGCCGGAAGGUUAAUUGAUGGGGUUAGCGGCAACGCGAAGCUCUUGAUCGAAGCCCCGGUAAACGGCGGCCGUAACUAUAACGGUCCUAAGGUAGCGAAAUUCCUUGUCGGGUAAGUUCCGACCUGCACGAAUGGCGUAAUGAUGGCCAGGCUGUCUCCACCCGAGACUCAGUGAAAUUGAACUCGCUGUGAAGAUGCAGUGUACCCGCGGCAAGACGGAAAGACCCCGUGAACCUUUACUAUAGCUUGACACUGAACACUGGUCCUUGAUGUGUAGGAUAGGUGGGAGGCUUUGAAGCGUGGACGCCAGUCUGCGUGGAGCCAACCUUGAAAUACCACCCUUUAAUGGCUGGUGUUCUAACGUAGACCCGUAAUCCGGGUUGCGGACAGUGUCUGGUGGGUAGUUUGACUGGGGCGGUCUCCUCCCAAAGAGUAACGGAGGAGCACGAAGGUUGGCUAAUCCUGGUCGGACAUCAGGAGGUUAGUGCAAUGGCAUAAGCCAGCUUGACUGCGAGCGUGACGGCGCGAGCAGGUGCGAAAGCAGGUCAUAGUGAUCCGGUGGUUCUGAAUGGAAGGGCCAUCGCUCAACGGAUAAAAGGUACUCCGGGGAUAACAGGCUGAUACCGCCCAAGAGUUCAUAUCGACGGCGGUGUUUGGCACCUCGAUGUCGGCUCAUCACAUCCUGGGGCUGAAGUAGGUCCCAAGGGUAUGGCUGUUCGCCAUUUAAAGUGGUACGCGAGCUGGGUUUAGAACGUCGUGAGACAGUUCGGUCCCUAUCUGCCGUGGGCGCUGGAGAAUUGAGGGGGGCUGCUCCUAGUACGAGAGGACCGGAGUGGACGCAUCACUGGUGUUCGGGUUGUCAUGCCAAUGGCACUGCCCGGUAGCUAAAUGCGGAAAAGAUAAGUGCUGAAAGCAUCUAAGCACGAAACUUGCCCCGAGAUGAGUUCUCCCUGAGACCUUGAGUCUCCUGAAGGAACGUUGAAGACGACGACGUUGAUAGGUCGGGUGUGUAAGCGCAGCGAUGCGUUGAGCUAACCGAUACUAAUGAACCGUGAGGCUUAACCUU
rnacentral:rRNA from 2 species